GCACGUAGUUAGCCGUGGCUUAUUCACCAGGUACUUUCAAUUUCUCACGCAUGAGCUUUUUAGCCCCUGGCAAAAGCAGUUUACAACCCAGAAGGCCGUCUUCCUGCACGCGGCAUGGCUGGUUCAGACUUCCAUCCAUUGACCAAUAUUCCCUACUGCUGCCUCCCGUAGGAGUCUGGCCCGUAUCUCAGUGCCAGUGUGGGGGAUCAACCUCUCAGUUCCCCUACUGAUCAUCGUCUUGGUGGGCCGUUACCCCGCCAACUAACUAAUCAGACGCAUGCCCAUCCUUUACCACCUCAGUUUUAAUAAUCAAAUGAUGCCAUCCAAUUAUACUAUGAAGGCUUAAUUCGAGUUUCCCCGAGCUAUCCUCCUGUAAAGGGUAGGUUGCAUACGUGUUACGCACCCGUACGUCACUCUCAUAUUCUAUUGCUAAAAUAUUUACCGUUCGACUUGCAUGUAUUAGGCCUGCCGCUAGCGUUCAUC
rnacentral:rRNA from 1 species